CGGCGCCUAUUUUCUGUUUUCUGUUUUCUGUUACUGGCCAGAUCUGAUUCUCAGAGGGAAGGCUGGACGCAGCUUAACUUCCCCCUAGCUGGUGUCUGGUGGAGACGUCCCAGCCCCAUCUGGGUCUCCGGACCGUCUGGGUUGGGCUUGAUCACCCCAACCAUUCGUUCUAUGUUCAGUGCUCUGUGUGCCCUGUUAAACGUUUCCUGUUAGCCUAUCUUUAUCUCUGGUGUGACCCAGUGUUUAACCUCCGUCAUGGGUCAGUCUUCGUCCGAGCCUUGCUCUCCCCUUAAAUGCAUGCUAAAUAACUUCUCUGGUUUCAAAAAAAAAGGAAAGAACUAUGGCUUUAACCUAAAGCCGUCCUGGCUGCGGACAUGUUGCCCACUGGACUGGCCGAUGCUCUCUGGGGUUGACUGGCCCCCAGAGGGCUCCUAGAAUCUUAACCUUGUUUAUGCCGUCCGCAGGAUUUGUCAUGAUGUUCAUCUCGACCAGGAGCCAUAUGCUGUGACGGGUCGACCUCCUAAACGACCCACCUUUCUGGCCGAGAAAGUACCAGAAACAGGGCCAAAAGCUGUCAUCUGGCAUCUCCCUUUCCCACUCCCCUUCCUGUUCUCCUCCAAACUCCCGAACCCUUGCUUCCCGUCACUCAGCCUUCAAAGAGGCUUUACCCAGUGCUUCAGGAGAUACCCGAAGGGAGGGACUUGUUAUCCGAUUCUCAGAGACCACCUCCUUAUCCCCAGACCCCACUAGCUCCCCAGGAACCAAAAGCCGCAGUAGAUCCUUUGACUAGUCCCCCACAUACCAGAUCAGGAGCCCUCUAGAGAGGAGAACACCAGUCCUCUGAUGCCCCAGUUCCCAUCCUUCCUCUUAGGCAAACGGCUCCGGCUCCCGGUCCAGACAGGCGGCCAACACGCCCGAUGGUUGUCUACACUCCUUUCUCCACCUCGGACCUCUACAACUGGAAAACUCAGAACCUGCCUUUCUCUGAAAACCCCCAGGGCCUAAUUGACUUAUUGCACUCUAUUUUCCCCACUCAUUUACCUACUUGGGAAGAUUGUCACCAACUCUUGCAGGUCUUACUGACUUCAAGGAAAGGGCCCGAGUGCCCCGGGAAGCCACGAGAGCAGUCCUCGGCCCGGAUGGAAUGCCUACCACAGACCUUCACAGAAUUGAGCACGUUUUCCCUUCCACGCCGCCCCAGUGGGACCCUAACAUGGAUAACGGAAUCAUCAAGCAGAGCCUGAGUCAGAUCGGACCACGACUAGAGGAAAGAGAAAGACAAAGACGAAUUAAUCAAAAUUGCACCCUGUUUCAACGUGAUACUGUGCUAAGCAUGAAGUGUUCAAGUAACCUACAGUCUAGACAUGCUUUUAAACAAGUAUACAACUGGAGGCGGUCUGCCCCCCACAGUACACCAGACGGCCGGACAGGCCAUGCUCGACGCUGGACAGAUGAGAUUGGUAGCCAUUUCCGGUCACACGCACUCACAGCCUGGAAGGGGAGGGCACCGCAUGCCGCGCAAGGUCGCUCGGCUGCAAUCUCCAAUCGAGUGAGCCAGCAAGGGCUGCGGGAGCCUCUCCAUUCACAGACAAGAAUAAGCGUACUAACAUCUUGGAACUUGGCGAACGUGAUCGUUGCCAAGGGAGGAGAAAAUGACCCGUAAAGCACGCUAGACCAGGAGGCCAAAACAUCUGCACACCCCUGCAAACAGGCAGGCAAACGUGACAGACGGACCGAACCCCAACUCAGCCUUCACUGGCCUCCGCCGCAUAACCAGGCCCGUAUCAGCAGCACGUUUCUGGUCAACAACCAGCAAAUGUCCAAAGUUUUCGCCUUCAUCUCCCACCACAGGUAUCUGGGAUAUAUGUCCCUCGGGUCUCACCAGAAACUGUGUUGAUGCCUGAGGGGAAAUGUCAUGGAAACUGAGACACCAGUCAUCCGCAAAAAUUCUUUGGCAACCGCCCCCUGGUUUUUCAGCUCAGCGGCUGAGUUCCAGCCCCACGUCUCACUCUGCACUGGCAACAUGGAGCCCGCUUGGGGUUCUCUCCACCCUUCCCCUGCUCGCUCACGCUCUCUC